AUUGAACGCUGGCGGCAGGCCUAACACAUGCAAGUCGAGCGAGUGGCGGACGGGUGAGUAAUGUAUGGGGAUCUGCCCGAUAGAGGGGGAUAACUACUGGAAACGGUGGCUAAUACCGCAUACUAUCGGAUGACCCCAUAUGGGAUUAGCUAGUAGGUGGGGUAACGGCUCCCCUAGGCGACGAACGCUAGCUGGUCUGAGAGGAUGACCGGCCACACUGGAACUGGGACACGGCCCAGACUCCUGAGGGAGGCAGCAGUGGGGAAUAUUGGAAAAUGGGCGCAAGCCUGAUGCAGCCAUGCGGCGGGUAUGAAGAAGGCCUUAGGGUUUUAAAGUACUUUCAGCGGGGCGGCGUUACCCGCAGAAGAAGCACCGGCUAACUCCGUGCCAGCAGCCGCGGUAAUUC
rnacentral:rRNA from 1 species